CAUAUUUAACAGAAAACUUAAGAAGAUAUUGGUGAAUGAGGCCCAAUGUCCUUAAAAGGUAUAACGUGUUACUUUGAUUGGUUGGGUCAACGAAUUUCCAGAAUAAUUGCUGAAACACCUGGCCGACGUCCCUCACCUCCUGCUCUCCGUGUGUUGCCGUUGUCUAACUCCGUUCUCUUCGGGAAACAACAACAAACCUCCAGCUAGCAAGCCGCAUUCAGAUGAGGAUGAAGACGUACAGUGAUGAUGUCCAGGAUACUGAGCAAACUGUGAACACUGUCUCCUGGUAGAACGUCCUUCACCACAGCGUCGGUACCAUCCUGCAGUAAAAAAACACACACAACAUGAGAGUAGAACGACAGUCACAACACAAUGAAGCAGUAGGUGUUGUGGUUGUCUUACGCUCUCACGGAUGCACAGCUCCAGGCGGCCAUCUUGAACCACGUAAAUACUGUCAUCGGUGUCCCCCGGUCGGAAGAGUCCCUCUCCCUGAUGCAGCUGGAUCAGCACCAUGUGACGACACAGCUCCAGGAAAAGAGGCUUCUCAAAGUGGCCAAGCACCCUGGUUACAACACACGUGCACAUACGGUGUAGUUCUAUUACUGCUAAGGAUAAUAUACACACAUGUAUUAGUCACUAUGUCACUACAGCACUAUGCAAAUUUCAGGUAAACUGUGUCAUAUCAAAUAUAUAACAAACGCAAUUUAGAUUCUGAGACCAUAGAUGUACAACAGUCAACCGAUGCAGUAUGAUGGUCUUUCCUCCAUUGCAUUUAGCAAUAAAAUCAGCCGAAUGUCCUUAAGAUUUCAGUCCUGGUAGGUCCUGUAGUUACUGCUAAGUGUGUUUUAAUAAUACAUGUUGCAGACUUCUGUUAAAAUACAGUGUAUCAACCACUGGGGGCAGAAAACAACCCUAAAGUAGCCAUCAGAAAUGCAACCGAGGAGGAAGAAGAAGUGGUGUACGUGUUAACAGCUCAGCGUGGACUCAUUAUGUCAUGUUGUUUCAUCAAGACAAUAGAUGGCGAUUCUCCGCAGGGUUGCGCAGCUGGGGGUGGGGGGGUGUCAAUGAAACGGCUCAUUUGUGUGACAUCCUGUUGUGUUCUUUAACCCCCCAAUUUACCACAAGUAGACUUUUUAUUUCACAACUACUGUUUUCCAUCACAUC